GACGUAGGGGGCGAGCGUUGUCCGGAUUCAUUGGGCGUAAAGAGCGCGUAGGCGGCCCGGAAAGUGGGUGUGAAACCCGAGGCUCAACCUCGGGCGUGCAUUCCAAACUCCCGGGCUCGAGGCAGGUAGGGGAGAUCGGAAUUCCUGGUGUAGCGGUGAAAUGCGCAGAUAUCAGGAGGAACACCGGUGGCGAAGGCGGAUCUCC
rnacentral:rRNA from 1 species